rnacentral:lncRNA from 1 species
CCCUUCCUCCUUCUAAGGCCAGCCUCUGAAGGGACCGCUCCUUGUCCCUGUAGGCAGGGGAUGCUCCCAAAGUCUAGGGCCCUGUCAGUGUCCCUCUUGCCAGAUGGCCCUGGGCAGGGUCUGCCCCCUGCCAGGGUGUGCCCCAAACAGGACACUGGGCAGAAACCAGGAGGGGUGGUGAAGGGAGCCCCGUCCGCCCUGGCCCUGCCGAGGUGUCUGGCAAAGGUGGAGAGUCCAGCCCCAGCCAGGACAGGGCUCCCCUAGGUGGCGUGGAGCUGGCGCUGGGCCUCCCUGACCCAGGCCCUGCCCUGGCCCACCUAUCUGGUCACCAGCAUCGGACAGCAGGUGACACUCCAGGUCGCCCGCCAGGUAACCCAGCCGUCUCCAUGGAGCCCUGGCCGCAGGCCAGGGCCACUGCCGGGAGUAGAGGUCACCAGUGACUGCUCGGAGGCUCCUCUGACCCUCGGGCUCUCAGCACCAACAGGUUGGCGAGCGGCGGGCACCCAGGAGGCCCCAAGGACCCGCCCCGCUCCGGGAGAAGGCGGACGAGGCCCUGGGCUUAGACUUCUGGGCUGCUCCCGUACACAGCGGGUGCUCACUAAGUGCAGGUCGCCAAGGACCGCGGGCCGUGUCUCCCCUCAUCAGAAAACAACCAGGCACUUUCCGACCUCAGGGCCUCUGCUCAGUGGCUCCUCCGCUGGAUCACCGCCCCCAGAUUCUUGCCUCCUCCUCCGUCUGGUUCAGGCUUCAUGAUUGCUUUAUUAGAAAGUUCUUUGCUUGCUGGGUGUGGUGCACGCCUGUGAUCCCAGCACUCUGGGAGGCUGAGGCAGGAGGAUCACAAGUUCAAGCCCAUCCUGGGCAAUUUAGCAACUUAGCAAGACCCUGUCUCAAAAUUAGAUAAAGGGCUGGGGAUGCAGCUCAGUGUGAGCCCUGGGUUCAAUCCCAGUACCGCAAAAAAACAAAAAUUUUGGCCGGGGAUGGAGCUCAGUGGUUUCACCGCCUGCUGCGCAAGCGCAAGGACCCGAGUUCGAUCCCCGGUACCAAAAAAAUAAAAAUAAAAUAAAAUAAAAAAUUUUUAUUUCUCUUUUGAAAACUGCUCACCGUCCAGUGCCCUCCUCCCUUGUCUUCCCUGACCCUGCUAGGGCCAUCAGGUCCACCGGGUCUGUGUCCAGAGCCCCCCCCACGUCCCCAUCCCAGCAGAGGUCCCAGCUGGUACCAAGCAGCCUCUUCCCAGGGGUCUGUUCCGCCCAGGGGACAGCACGGCGGCCACGGGUGCCAGCCCACAGUGCCAAUGGGGCAGAGCCAGGGGACGGUGUGCCCGACCUGGCCGCUGGAGAGAGGGGUCUGGGGAGGCGCAUGGGGCGGGAGCCCAGGCUCCAGCUCCCCACGCAGGCCAGCCCGCUCGCCUGUGGUCCGGGGCGCAGGGCUAUGAGAAGGGGACUCCAGGGACGGCUGUGUGGCGGCCAGAGCAGGGGAGACGGGGGCCAGGCUCAGCUCAGCCACACCCGCCCUCACAGGCCCGGGUCCCUGGCAGGCGCCCUCCCCCAGCCUGGUGGGCCUGCCGCUGUUCAGCACAGGGCGCUGCGGUGUCAGAGACGGCCUUUCUGGUG